UACGGGGGGGGGCAAGCGUUGUUCGGAAUUACUGGGCGUAAAGGGCUCGUAGGUGGCCAACUAAGUCAGACGUGAAAUCCCUCAGCUUAACUGGGGAACUGCGUCUGAUACUGGAUGGCUUGAGUUUGGGAGAGGGAUGCGGAAUUCCAGGUGUAGCGGUGAAAUGCGUAGAUAUCUGGAGGAACACCGGUGGCGAAGGCGGCAUCCUGGACCAACACUGACACUGAUGAGCGAAAGCCAGGGGAGCAAACAGG
rnacentral:rRNA from 1 species